AACCAGCAGACACCUAUUAAUAGCACAUAUAUAUAUAUAUAUAUAUUAUAUCAAUAAAUGUGAAUUAGUAUAAAUAUGUGAUAAAAUAUAUUUUAAUUUGUUUAAAGCACCCACAUAAGUAAACAUCCAUCCAGUAAAUUCUCUCUGCUUCAUUUCUUCUAGUUCAUCCUCUGUGGCGUAUCUAUACUCGAACCGCUUUUCUGCCAUGAAAAUCC
rnacentral:lncRNA from 1 species